GCCGGGCGCGGUGGUGCGCGCCUGUAAUCCCAGCUACUCGGGAGGCUGAGGCUGGAGGAUCGCUUGAGCUCAGGAGUUCUGGGCUGCAGUGCGCUAUGCCGAUCGGGUGUCCGCACUAAGUUCGGCAUCAAUAUGGUGACCUCCCGGGAGCAGGGGGCCACCAGGUUGCCUAAGGAGGGGUGAACCGGCCCAGGUCGGAAACGGAGCAGGUCAAAACUCCCGUGCUGAUCAGUAGUGGGAUCGCGCCUGUGAAUAGCCACUGUACUCCAGCCUGGGCAAUAUAGCGAGACCCUGUCUCU
rnacentral:SRP_RNA from 1 species